rnacentral:rRNA from 1 species
CCUACGGGAGGCAGCAGUGGGGAAUAUUGCACAAUGGGCGCAAGCCUGAUGCAGCGACGCCGCGUGAGGGAUGACGGCCUUCGGGUUGUAAACCUCUUUCAGUAGGGAAGAAGCGAAAGUGACGGUACCUGCAGAAGAAGCGCCGGCUAACUACGUGCCAGCAGCCGCGGUAAUACGUAGGGCGCAAGCGUUAUCCGGAAUUAUUGGGCGUAAAGAGCUCGUAGGCGGUUUGUCGCGUCUGCCGUGAAAGUCCGGGGCUCAACUCCGGAUCUGCGGUGGGUACGGGCAGACUAGAGUGAUGUAGGGGAGACUGGAAUUCCUGGUGUAGCGGUGAAAUGCGCAGAUAUCAGGAGGAACACCGAUGGCGAAGGCAGGUCUCUGGGCAUUAACUGACGCUGAGGAGCGAAAGCAUGGGGAGCGAACAGGAUUAGAUACCCUGGUAGUCCAUGCCGUAAACGUUGGGCACUAGGUGUGGGGGACAUUCCACGUUUUCCGCGCCGUAGCUAACGCAUUAAGUGCCCCGCCUGGGGAGUACGGCCGCGAGACGUAACUUAAAUAGAGUAGACGCGNGAGACGUGCGACGACGACGACGAGGGAGAGG